UAUUCUUGAAUAACCCUAAAUGGUAUUGAAACAUUCCCUUAAAUAACUUUUAACAAGAAAAAUUGAAUUUUACAGGAAGAAAUUAGAAAAGUAGAACAGUUGAUUCUUUUAUAUGAUUGGUCAUAAAGUGUUUUAUAUGUCCUUGUUUAUUAGGUUUUUUAGGCCCUAUGUACAAUGAAAGUGCCCUUAGGCGUAGGAAGCCUUUU
rnacentral:lncRNA from 1 species